rnacentral:lncRNA from 1 species
CGGGAUCGUUGAUCGUCGAUUCCCGUAGUCUAACCGAAUUCAUUCCUUGGCACCAGGCGUCUCACUUAACGACUAUUGAUCUUCGAAAGGCCCUGCCUAAGGGUGGGUCAUCCCGAGCCGGAAAUGUGAUAUGAGUCCCCGAGUUCUCUCUCGAAUAGACUUUCGAUAAGGGCGCAGAUGCUCUAACUGUAUGGCCUGGGUAUGUAGUAAUGAGUGUGGGUGAUACCGGGUGAAUCUUUACGGACUGGACUCACAACUAUAGCAAGGCUCAUCCAGGGUUCCUUCGUUCUAUCUGUUCACUUAAGACUGCGCUUUCAAAGGUAGUUCUGAAAGGCACCUCUUCAAUCCUAUUCAACCUUCUAUUGAGAAGCCCCAGAACUACGCUUGAAGCUUCAUUCAGAUCGAUUCCAGUCGCCGCUACGCCACAUCAAUCCGUUAUGGCUUGACCCUCUUCCUUAGCAGCUACGGAUUCUCCGGACAGCCAUAUUUGC